AUUGAACGCUGGCGGCAGGCCUAACACAUGCAAGUCGGGCGAGCGGCGGACGGGUGAGUAAUGCAUGGGGAUCUGCCUGAUGGAGGGGGAUAACUACUGGAAACGGUAGCUAAUACCGCGUACCAUAGGAUGAGCCCAAGUGGGAUUAGGUAGUUGGUGGGGUAAAGGCUCACCAAGCCGACGAUCUCUAGCUGGUCUGAGAGGAUGACCAGCCACACUGGGACUGAGACACGGCCCGGACUACUCAGGGAGGCAGCAGUGGGGAAUAUUGCGCAAUGGGGGCAACCUGACGCAGCCAUGCCGCGUGAAUGAAGGAGGCCUUCGGGUUGUAAAGUUAUUUCGGUAGCGAGGCGUUAACUACAGAAGAAGCACCGGCUAACUCCGUGCCAGCAGCCGCGGUAAUAC
rnacentral:rRNA from 1 species